rnacentral:tRNA from 1 species
GCCUCCAUAGCUCAGCGGCCAGAGCGGCUGCCUUGUAAGCAGCAGGUCAGGGGUUCAAAUCCCUUUGGAGGCU